UACAGAGGUCUCAAGCGUUGUUCGGAUUCAUUGGGCGUAAAGGGUGCGUAGGCGGCGCGGUAAGUCGGGUGUGAAAUCUUGGAGCUUAACUCCGAAACUGCAUUCGAUACUGCCGUGCUUGAGGACUGGAGAGGAGACUGGAAUUUACGGUGUAGCGGUGAAAUGCGUAGAUAUCGUAAGGAAGACCAGUGGCGAAGGCGGGUCUCUGGACAGUUCCUGACGCUGAGGCACGAAGGCAAGGGGAGCAAACGGG
rnacentral:rRNA from 1 species